AUACUCCCACAAACAGGUCACUAGGUCAGUGGCUGCUUGAUUAGUUGAACUGUUGAAGUGAGUUGGAACGAUUGAAUACUCCAACAAACAGCUGCCGGAAAUCGCCAUGAACCCACAAUCCGAUUUGGGGAUCUGUGAAGCAGGGGCAAACCUGCUGCUUGUGCGUUUGGAUGGAGGUCAGUGGCUGACUUGCUUGCGGUUGCUGCUGCCUGGGAUUGUUUGAUUUGGAGAAUUCGAGUUGCUGCUGUGAUUCUGGGUUUUGAGUUUCUUGACCUUUUUUAUUCCAAGACUUGCCAACUUGACCACUUAUUUUUUGAAUUCCUUCUUAUGUCUCUGUGCUCUUCUUAUUUGCUCUAUUAUUGUCUGUACAUUAAUCAAGCUAAGCACUUCCCCUAGGUCCCAAAAUUAAAUUAUGAAAGCCUUGGACUCUGGAUGUUUACAGAGAGUCGUGUAAAGCCAAGCUACCACCAGCUGUUCUUUUUCAAUUUUUAUAUACCUUGCUGCUCGAGUAACCGACUUCACUCUUCCUAUUUGUCUCUCUGUCCCUUUUAUCAAUAUAUAAAAGCUUGAAAAAGAGACUUGACCUCUUGAAUAUUGCAUAGACAUUCAGGGAAAAAAAAAAAUUGUGUACUUCCAAUUAGCCUAAACAACUCUCGGAUUCUGAAUCCGCCACUGAUUUGAGCAUGCAUGGUUUUCGGAUCAGGUUAAGUGGGGGUUAUAGAUGUCAAAGGAGCUAUAGAUGAUACACAUUCUCUGUAUGCCUCCACAGUAUUAUCUGUGAUGAAUUACACCAAAGAGUCGGCACCAGUAUUGGAAAACACCACAGCUUCACAUAAAGUCAUAAACUGCUUUAAGAACUUCCUUGCCUCGUUUCUAUAUAUUUAGCUCCGGUUAUCUACGUUUUGAAACAAAGGCUUGGUUGCUGUCUUAGCAAAUAGCAAUAUCAACUUCAGUGUCUACUGAAGUUGAUCUUAGUAGCAUUAGUAGUUGUGUAAACGGCUUGAAUUCUUAACCUUUUCAUAAUUCCUCUUUGCUUUCUCCAUCAAAUAAUAGUUGAU